rnacentral:sRNA from 1 species
CCUCCUGUAGCGCCGAGCUCCAUCCAGCAGGCGGGGAACCGACGAGAACCAAUGGAUGGAGGCGGGGGACCCACCGGUCCACCGAAAAGCGGACCGGAGCCUCUUGGGGCUCCUUGGGGUGAAGCCACCGUCGUCUCCGACGGCUGUGGCCGGGCGGCCUCUCUGGUUGCAUCCAGCCCGAACCCGACAGCUGACCUCGCGGGCGCACACAGAGAGGACAU